rnacentral:lncRNA from 1 species
AUCAACCAAACAAAUAAAGAUUUUAAUUAAAUGAUAAAAUUAUAAAUAAAGUAAAAUUUUCAAGAUUUAAAAUUAUACAUAGUUUAAGUUGCUUACACUCUUUUAAAAUAUCAUUAAAUGCAUAUCAAAUUCUUUAAAAAUAAUAUAUUUUGAUAGAAAUAUUUGGAGAGUCUCAUCAACUUAGUCCACAACACUCAUCACUCAAAUUUGAAUUUGAACACACAAUAUAGCAUGAAAAGGGAGAGAUCGAUUAUAGAACGCUAAAGAGGAGCAGACAACACUAAUUUAAUUUAAGUACUAGAAAUUUUAGGAUACUAUUUUAUUUCAUUUCCAAAAGAAAGAAAAUUACGAGAAAAUAUAUAGUUUUUUUUUAAUUUAAAUCUUUAGUUCAUUACUUUUAAAUUUUUUCCAACUCUAAGUUGUUAAUUUUUCUUAGCCGGGAGAUAGUUAAUUAUGCUAUUAUUUUUAUCUUGAUUUUUUUAAUUUAUCAUUAUAGAGAAAAGAAAAAAAAAGAGAUGUACCAACAAGAUGGCCAUCUUUGAAAUACUCCUUAUCCUUUCUUGCAAUAAACUCACAUGCACUUAAUUAAUUUACUCCACAAACUUUUACAUCAUCAAUCCUUCAUCUCUUACACAUUGCAGAGAACCACAUGUCCCGUCUGUUUAUUUAUCCUUAUGAGUAGCAAACCUUCAUCAUACAAGACAACAUCUCAAACUCCCCCUCAAAUAUUUACAAGAGGAUGACAAGGGUAAGAAAUUGCUCUCAAUCCUACCCAAAGAAAAAGGAUGGAUUGGAUCAUAUAACUAUAAUAAUUACCAAGGUUUUUAGACACCACCAAAAAUAAUCCAAGAUUUCAUUGCAUGUCAACAACCAUUUCAAGUUUAAAAUAGCAAUAUCAUCCUUGUUACAACUCCUAAUGCAGGAACUAUUUGAUUAAAAUCACUUUCAUUUGUUCUAGUGAAUCGAAAGUAACAUCCUAUUUUUAACCAAAAUCACCCUUUAUUUAUCAAAAACCCUCAUGAUCUUGUUCCAUUCUUGGAACUUAACCUCUACCAUGAUGGUAAAGUCGUUGAUUUUUCAUCAUUCACUUCACCUAGACUCUUUUCAACUCAUUUGCCCUUUGCUUCCUUGCCAUUUUAGACUAAUCAACAAGAUGGCAUCUUUAAAAGAUUCCCUCUUUAUCUUCUCUUGCAACAAACUCACGGGCACUUAAUUCGCUCCACUCACAUAGUUUAGGUUGCUAAACACUCUUUUACAUCAAAUCACUCACAUAGUAUAGAUUGCUAAACACUCUUUUAAAAUAUCAUUAGGUGCGUGCUGAAUUUUUUAAAAGAAUUGAGACAAGAAUAAUAGUAUCUUUAGAGAGUCUCAUCAACUUAGCUGACAACACUCAUCACUCAAAUUUUGAUUUGCAAACACAGUAUAGCAUAAAAAGAGAGAGAUCAAUUAUAGAGCGCUAAAGAGGAGCAGAUAACACUACUUUAAUUUAAGCACUACAAAUUUUAGGAUACUAUGAGAGAUCGAUUAUAGAGUGCUAAAGAGGAGCAGAUAACACUAAUUUAAUUUAAGCACUACAAAUUUUAGGAUACUAUUUUAUCUCAUUUCCCAAAGAAAGAAAAUUACGAGAAAAAUAUAUAUUUAUUUUGAAUUAAAUCUUUAGUUUAUUACUUUUAAAUUUUUCCUAAGUUGUUAAUUUUUCUUAGCCUGGAGAUAGUUAAUCACAAUAUUGUCUUUAUCUUGAUAUUUUUAAUUUACCAAUAGAGAGAAAAAAAAAAAAAAAAAAGAGAUGUACCAACAAGAUGGCCAUCUUUGAAAUGCGUACUCAUCCUUUCCUGCAACAAAGUCACAUGCACUUAAUUCACUCCACCCACUUUUACCCUAUCUACUCUACAUCUUUUAAUUUAACGGAGGUUGGUAUAUGUCCGUGCUCAGCACGGCCGGAUAGUGAGAAAGUUGAAAAUAAUGAAGAUAAUUAGGUAGAUUUAUAAUGAUAUUGUUGUUGUUAAAAGGGAAAAAAAAAUGAGAAGUUGUCUCGUCUAAAAUUUUCAUUAAAGUGCCAUAAUUAAUUUCGUAAAUUAACCAAAUAUGUUAUAUCAAAUAAUUUUGAAAGUCAAUCAAAUAUUUUAUAUUUUUUAAAAAAUUUAAAUUGUUAAUUAUUGUGAUUUAUAAUUUUUUUUUUUACAUAUUUUUUUCAAAGUAUAUAACAAAUUAAAUCUUUUUUAGAUAUUUUAAACUGUUAACUAUUGUAAUUUAUAUACUUUUUAUGUAAUCUUCAAAUAAUACAUGCUACACUUCUUGUCCAAACUUUUGAGUCAUUAAUAGUUUAUUAUAUUCUUAACUAUUUCAACUUAAGUUGCACCGAUAUAAUUUUGAGAUUCAACUAAAUAUUUUAUAUUUUUUAAAAAUUUUAAGUUGAUAAUUAUUGUGACCUAUAGUAUUUUUUAUGGAUUUUUUUUUUUUGAAUAUAUAACAGAUUAAUUUUUUUAGAUAUUUUAAGAAAUUAACUAUUGUAAUUUAUAAUAUUUUUUAUGUAAUUUUUAAAUAAUAUAUGUUACUUUUUUUGUUCAAACUUUUGUGGCAUUAAAAGUCAAUUAUAUUUUAAAAAUAAUUUAAGUUUAUAAUUAGUGUGAUUUGUAAUACUUUUUAUUCUAUUUCAAUUUAAAUGACACUGAUAUAAUUUCAACACUUAGACAAAUACUUUAUAUCUUUUAAUUUUUGUAAGUUGUUAAUUAUUGUGAUUUACAGGAUUUUUCGUAUCUUUUUGAAAUAUAUAACAAAUUAAAAAAAAAUAACACAAAUAAAUUAAAAUGGAUGAAAAAAAUGAAGGCAAGGGAAAAGACCAAUGAAGUUGUGCCAAAGCAGACAGAUUGACCUUUAAUUUUUUUUAAUUGUUAACAAUUGUGAUUUAUAGUACUUUUUUCGUAUUUUUUUGAAAUAUAUAAAAUAUUAAAUAUUUUUUUUAGAUAUUUUAAGUUGUUAUUAUAAUUUAUAGUACUUUUUAUGUAAUUUUCAAAUAAAAUAUAUUACUCUUCUUGUUUAAAAUUUUGUGGCAUUGAUAGUCAAUUAUACUUUUUAAAUAAUUAAAUUUUUUAAUUAUUAUGAUUUAUAAUACUUUUCCUUCAAUUCCAAUUUAAGUGUCACAAAGCUUAGAUGAUCGUAAUAAUUAAUUAGGGAUAAUAUCGUAAAAUCAUGAUUGAAGCAGUAAAAUAGACAUGUCUUAAAUGACUUAUAUAUAAUAACUAAUUAAAAGUAAUAUAACAAAAUUACAAAAAUACUUGUGAAAAAAAAUUAAGUGGGCCUCAUAUAAGAUGUCAAGUUAAUUUAGCAUUAAAUAUUAUUAAUUUUUUAAUAUUUAUAUGAAAUUAAAAAAAUUAAUAUACUUAGAUGACUUAUAAUAAUUAAUUAGAGGUGAUUAAUAAAAUUACGGUUGAAGCAGCUGACGCAGACAUGUCAUAAAUGUCUAUUUUACUUUUUUUAUUAAAUAUUAUUAAUUUUUCAAUACAUACAUAUAAUAAUUAGUUAGGGUGAUAUAGAAAAAUCAUGGAGUAAACAGUUGAAUGGUCGGCAAGGAGGAUAACAGGAAGCUGCUGAAACUGUGGCUUAUAACUAAUUAAAAGUGAUAUAAUAAUAUUACUAUAAAAAAAUACUUGUGAAAAAAAUUAAGUGAGCCUCAUGUAAAACUCCAAGUUAGAUUAACAUUAAAUAUUAUUAAUUUUUUAAUAUUUAGAUGACUUUAUAAUACUUAGAUAACUUAUAAUAAUUAAUUAAGAGCGAUAUAGUAAAAUUACUGUUAAAGCAGCUGAAGUAGACAUGUCAUAACUGUCUAUUUUACUUUUAUAUUAAAUAUUAUUAAUUUUUAAUACAUAAAUGACAUAUAAAAAUUAAUUAAGGAAAGUAAGCAGCUGAAUGAUCCACAGGGGGAAAACUUCUGAAACUGUGGUUUAUUAACUAGGAGAAUUUUGCAAUUAAAUGUAUGGACAAUGACAUGGCCAUCUAGGCCUAAAAUUUAUGAAAAAUAAAAAUGUAAUGCAUGUCCCAUCUCUGAUAUAUACUAGAUAUUGAAGGUUAGCUUCGGCCCAAUAUAUAUUAUUUUUUAAUUUAUAUUUAAUGUGACAUAAAUAAAAUUUAGAUAAUUUAUUAUAUUUUUAAUACUUUUUAGAUAUUUUAAAUUGUUAACCAUUGUAAUUUAUAAUAAUUUCUUGACAUUGUAAUUUACUAUUUUAAGUUGCUAGCCAUUGUAAUUUAUAACUCUCCUUGUCCAAACUUUCGUAGCAUUAAUAGUCAAUUAUAUUUUAAAAAUAAUUUAAAUUUUUAAUUAUUGUAAUUUAUAGUAUUUUUUCUUAUAUUUCAAUUUAAGUAACACUGAUAUAAUUUCGAGAUUCAAUCAAAUAUCACGAUUGAAGUUGCGAAGCAGACAUGUCUUAAAUGACUCAUAAUAACUUAUUAGAAGUGAUACAACAAAAUUACUAUAAAAAGAUAGUUGUGAAAAAAAUUUAAGUAGACCUCGUAUAAGAUAUCAAGUUAAUUUAAAACAUCAAUAGUUAAUUUAUCUUUUUUUUUUAAUUGUUUUACCUUUUUUAUUAAAUAUUGUUAACUUUUUUAAUACUUCGAUGACUCACAAUAAUUAAUUAGGAAUGAAAUAGUAAAUUAUGGUUGAAACAGCUGAAGCAGACGUCAUAAAUGUCCAUUUUACUUUUUUAUUAAAUAUUGUUAAUUUUUUAAUAUGUAAAUGACUUACAAUAAUUAAUUAGGAAAUAACUCAUUAGAAGUGAUAUAACAAAAUUAAUAUAAAACAUAGUUGUGAAUUUUUUUAAGUAGACCCCAUAUAAGAUGUCAAGUUAAUUUAAAUCAUCAAUAGUUAAUUUAUCAUUUUUUAUUUCUUUUAUCUUUUUUAUUAAAUAUUAUUAAUUUUUGCAAUACUUAAAUGACUUAUAAUAAUUAAUUAGGGAUGAAAUAGUAAAAUUAUGGUUAAAGCAACUGAAACAGACAUGUAAUAAAUGUCUAUUUUAUAUUUUCUAAUUAAAUAUUAUUAACUUUUUAAUACGUAAAUAAAAUAUAUUAAUUAAUUAAGAAUAAUAUAGUAAAAUCACGAUUAAAAAAGACACGACGACGUUCACCUCCUUCCUUCACGCUUCUAUAUGUUAGCAUAUAUAUAUAUCCUUAUGAGUAAACCUUCAUCAUACAAACUAGAAGAAAAUUUUUUAUCCUCAAAAUCAUGACAACAUCUCAAACUCCUCUCAAAUAUUUACAAGAGGAUGACUUAAGUGAAGAGUGUAAAAAGUUGGUCUCUAAUCUAUCCAAAGAAAAAGGAUGGAUUGCAUCAUAUUACUACAAUUAUCAAGGUUUUUGGCUAGCACCAAGAGCAAUCCAAGGUGUGAUUGCAUGUCAACAACAAUUUCAAGCUCAAGAUAGUGAUAUCAUCCUUGUUACAACUCCUAAGGCAGGAACUACUUGGUUAAAAUCACUUUUAUUUGUUCUGGUAAAUCGAAAAAAGCAUCCUAUUUUUAACCAAAAUCACCCUUUAUUUGUCAAAACCCCUCAUGAUCUUGUUCCAUUCUUGGAACGUGACCUCUAUCGUAAUGGUCAAGUCUCUGAUUUUUCAUCAUUCACUUCACCUAGACUCUUUUCAACUCAUUUGCCCUAUGCUUCGUUGCCAAAAUCUGUCCAAGAUUCAAGAACCAAACUUGUUUACUUAUGUAGGAAUCCUAGAGACACUUUUAUUUCUAUGUGGCAUUUUGCAAACACUGUAAAACAUGAUCACACA